rnacentral:rRNA from 1 species
UACGUAGGCAGCAAGCGUUGUUCGGAAUUACUGGGCGUAAAGAGUGUGUAGGCGGUGCUCCAAGUCUGGUGUGAAAUCUCCCGGCUUAACUGGGAGGGGCCAGUGGAUACUGGAUGGCUUGAGGACAGCAGAGGUCGGUGGAAUUCCUGGUGUAGUGGUGAAAUGCGUAGAGAUCAGGAGGAACACCGGUGGCGAAGGCGGCCGACUGGACCACAACUGACGCUGAGGCGCGAAAGCUAGGGGAGCAAACAGG